rnacentral:rRNA from 1 species
AUGGCUGCGGGGACGCUGCAGAUCAGGCCGAAGGCGAAGAGCCUGUGGCUGCUGGUGCGCCGGCUGCUCUGCCGCGGCAACAAGCUGCACAGACCGCCCGCGGGCGCCGGGGACCAGCAGGGAGACGGCUGCGGGGAGAAGAGGAGCCUCCUCGGCCGGAGCGGCUCGCUGGAGGAGCUCCUGGGGCCAGACGUCGCCGGCGCCGUCCGCCGCAGCGCCAGGAAGGACGUCCAGGUCGUCCAGCACGCGCUGCUGCCGCCUGAGCGGCAACGGCAGGAUCAUGCGGACGCGGCGGAGGCUCGCCCGGCGGACGAGCCGCUGGCCGCCAGCGCCGCGGCCGUGCAGCAGUACCGGAGGUUCAUGUUCGGCGGGUUCCGGCGGCGGCUGAUGAUGCGGAGACAGUGGCGGCCCAUGCUCGUCGCCAUCCCGGAGUGA